GAAAGAUGGUUCUGCUAUCACUCUUGGAUGGACCUGCGGUGCAUUAGCUAGUUGGUAAGGUAACGGCUUACCAAGGCAAUGAUGCAUAGCCGAGUUGAGAGACUGAUCGGCCACAUUGGGACUGAGACACGGCCCAAACUCCUACGGGAGGCAGCAGUAGGGAAUCUUCCACAAUGGACGAAAGUCUGAUGGAGCAACGCCGCGUGAGUGAAGAAGGGUUUCGGCUCGUAAAGCUCUGUUGGUAGUGAAGAAAGAUAGAGGUAGUAACUGGCCUUUAUUUGACGGUAAUUACUUAGAAAGUCACGGCUAACUACGUGCCAGCAGCCGCGGUAAUACGUAGGUGGCAAGCGUUGUCCGGAUUUAUUGGGCGUAAAGCGAGUGCAGGCGGUUCAAUAAGUCUGAUGUGAAAGCCUUCGGCUCAACCGGAGAAUUGCAUCAGAAACUGUUGAACUUGAGUGCAGAAGGGGAGAGUGGAACUCCAUGUGUAGCGGUGGAAUGCGUAGAUAUAUGGAAGAACACCAGUGGCGAAGGCGGCUCUCUGGUCUGCAACUGACGCUGAGGCUCGAAAGCAUGGGUAGCGAACAGGAUUAGAUACCCUGGUAGUCCAUGCCGUAAACGAUGAGUGCUAAGUGUUGGGAGGUUUCCGCCUCUCA
rnacentral:rRNA from 1 species